AGAGUUUGAUCCUGGCUCAGGAUGAACGCUAGCUACAGGCUUAACACAUGCAAGUCGCGGGGCAGCAUGGGGGUUGCUUGCAACCCCCGAUGGCGACCGGCGCACGGGUGAGUAACGCGUAUCCAACCUGCCCUUCACCACGGGAUAACCCGGCGAAAGUCGGACUAAUACCGUAUGUUGUCCAUUGACGGCAUCCGAUUUGGACGAAAGGCUUUGCGGUGAAGGAUGGGGAUGCGUCCGAUUAGCUGGACGGCGGGGUAACGGCCCACCGUGGCUACGAUCGGUAGGGGUUCUGAGAGGAAGGUCCCCCACACUGGAACUGAGACACGGUCCAGACUCCUACGGGAGGCAGCAGUGAGGAAUAUUGGUCAAUGGGCGUAAGCCUGAACCAGCCAAGUAGCGUGCAGGAUGACGGCCCUAUGGGUUGUAAACUGCUUUUAUGCGGGGAUAAAGUGAGGGACGUGUCCUUCAUUGCAGGUACCGCAUGAAUAAGGACCGGCUAAUUCCGUGCCAGCAGCCGCGGUAAUACGGAAGGUCCGGGCGUUAUCCGGAUUUAUUGGGUUUAAAGGGAGCGUAGGCCGUGGAUUAAGCGUGUUGUGAAAUGCAGGUGCUCAACGUCUGCACUGCAGCGCGAACUGGUCCACUUGAGUGUGCGCAACGCAGGCGGAAUUCGUCGUGUAGCGGUGAAAUGCUUAGAUAUGACGAAGAACUCCGAUUGCGAAGGCAGCUUGCGGGAGCACAACUGACGCUGAAGCUCGAAAGUGCGGGUAUCGAACAGGAUUAGAUACCCUGGUAGUCCGCACGGUAAACGAUGGAUGCCCGUUGUCAGGCUGUUUCAGCCUGGUGACCAAGCGAAAGCAUUAAGCAUCCCACCUGGGGAGUACGCCGGCAACGGUGAAACUCAAAGGAAUUGACGGGGGCCCG
rnacentral:rRNA from 1 species